UACGUAGGGGGCAAGCGUUGUCCGGAUUUAUUGGGCGUAAAGAGCGUGUAGGCGGCCAGAUAGGUCUGUUGUGAAAACUCGAGGCUCAACCUCGAGACGCCGAUGGAAACCAUCUGGCUAGAGUCCGGAAGAGGAGAGUGGAAUUCCUGGUGUAGCGGUGAAAUGCGCAGAUAUCAGGAGGAACACCAGUGGCGAAGGCGGCACUCUGGGCUGGCACUGACGCUGAGGAGCGAAAGCGUGGGGAGCGAACAGG
rnacentral:rRNA from 1 species